rnacentral:rRNA from 1 species
AGAGCGAACGCUGGCGGCAGGCCUAACACAUGCAAGUCGAACGGAUCCUUCGGGAUUAGUGGCAGACGGGUGAGUAACACGUGGGAACGUGCCUUUUGGUUCGGAACAACUCAGGGAAACUUGAGCUAAUACCGGAUAAGCCCUUCGGGGGAAAGAUUUAUCGCCAUUAGAGCGGCCCGCGUCUGAUUAGCUAGUUGGUGAGGUAAAGGCUCACCAAGGCUUCGAUCAGUAGCUGGUCUGAGAGGAUGAUCAGCCACACUGGGACUGAGACACGGCCCAGACUCCUACGGGAGGCAGCAGUGGGGAAUCUUGCGCAAUGGGCGAAAGCCUGACGCAGCCAUGCCGCGUGAAUGAUGAAGGUCUUAGGAUUGUAAAAUUCUUUCACCGGGAAGAUAAUGACGGUACCCGGAGAAGAAGCCCGGCUAACUCGUGCCAGCAGCCGC